GGCGACGUGGUCGAAUGGCUUAGGCAGCGGACUGCAAAUCCGCGUAUCCCGGUUCGAUUCCGGGCGUCGCCUCCA
rnacentral:tRNA from 4 species